UUAAGCGACUAAGCGUACACGGUGGAUGCCCUGGCAGUCAGAGGCGAUGAAGGACGUGCUAAUCUGCGAUAAGCGUCGGUAAGGUGAUAUGAACCGUUAUAACCGGCGAUUUCCGAAUGGGGAAACCCAGUGUGAUUCGUCACACUAUCAUUAACUGAAUUCAUAGGUUAAUGAGGCGAACCGGGGGAACUGAAACAUCUAAGUACCCCGAGGAAAAGAAAUCAACCGAGAUUCCCCCAGUAGCGGCGAGCGAACGGGGAGGAGCCCAGAGCCUGAAUCAGUGUGUGUGUUAGUGGAAGCGUCUGGAAAGGCGCGCGAUACAGGGUGACAGCCCCGUACACAAAAAUGCACAUGCUGUGAGCUCGAUGAGUAGGGCGGGACACGUGGUAUCCUGUCUGAAUAUGGGGGGACCAUCCUCCAAGGCUAAAUACUCCUGACUGACCGAUAGUGAACCAGUACCGUGAGGGAAAGGCGAAAAGAACCCCGGCGAGGGGAGUGAAAAAGAACCUGAAACCGUGUACGUACAAGCAGUGGGAGCCUCUUUAUGGGGUGACUGCGUACCUUUUGUAUAAUGGGUCAGCGACUUAUAUUCUGUAGCAAGGUUAACCGAAUAGGGGAGCCGAAGGGAAACCGAGUCUUAACUGGGCGUUAAGUUGCAGGGUAUAGACCCGAAACCCGGUGAUCUAGCCAUGGGCAGGUUGAAGGUUGGGUAACACUAACUGGAGGACCGAACCGACUAAUGUUGAAAAAUUAGCGGAUGACUUGUGGCUGGGGGUGAAAGGCCAAUCAAACCGGGAGAUAGCUGGUUCUCCCCGAAAGCUAUUUAGGUAGCGCCUCGUGAAUUCAUCUCCGGGGGUAGAGCACUGUUUCGGCAAGGGGGUCAUCCCGACUUACCAACCCGAUGCAAACUGCGAAUACCGGAGAAUGUUAUCACGGGAGACACACGGCGGGUGCUAACGUCCGUCGUGAAGAGGGAAACAACCCAGACCGCCAGCUAAGGUCCCAAAGUCAUGGUUAAGUGGGAAACGAUGUGGGAAGGCCCAGACAGCCAGGAUGUUGGCUUAGAAGCAGCCAUCAUUUAAAGAAAGCGUAAUAGCUCACUGGUCGAGUCGGCCUGCGCGGAAGAUGUAACGGGGCUAAACCAUGCACCGAAGCUGCGGCAGCGACGCUUAUGCGUUGUUGGGUAGGGGAGCGUUCUGUAAGCCUGCGAAGGUGUACUGUGAGGUAUGCUGGAGGUAUCAGAAGUGCGAAUGCUGACAUAAGUAACGAUAAAGCGGGUGAAAAGCCCGCUCGCCGGAAGACCAAGGGUUCCUGUCCAACGUUAAUCGGGGCAGGGUGAGUCGACCCCUAAGGCGAGGCCGAAAGGCGUAGUCGAUGGGAAACAGGUUAAUAUUCCUGUACUUGGUGUUACUGCGAAGGGGGGACGGAGAAGGCUAUGUUGGCCGGGCGACGGUUGUCCCGGUUUAAGCGUGUAGGCUGGUUUUCCAGGCAAAUCCGGAAAAUCAAGGCUGAGGCGUGAUGACGAGGCACUACGGUGCUGAAGCAACAAAUGCCCUGCUUCCAGGAAAAGCCUCUAAGCAUCAGGUAACAUCAAAUCGUACCCCAAACCGACACAGGUGGUCAGGUAGAGAAUACCAAGGCGCUUGAGAGAACUCGGGUGAAGGAACUAGGCAAAAUGGUGCCGUAACUUCGGGAGAAGGCACGCUGAUACGUAGGUGAAGCGACUUGCUCGUGGAGCUGAAAUCAGUCGAAGAUACCAGCUGGCUGCAACUGUUUAUUAAAAACACAGCACUGUGCAAACACGAAAGUGGACGUAUACGGUGUGACGCCUGCCCGGUGCCGGAAGGUUAAUUGAUGGGGUUAGCGGUAACGCGAAGCUCUUGAUCGAAGCCCCGGUAAACGGCGGCCGUAACUAUAACGGUCCUAAGGUAGCGAAAUUCCUUGUCGGGUAAGUUCCGACCUGCACGAAUGGCGUAAUGAUGGCCAGGCUGUCUCCACCCGAGACUCAGUGAAAUUGAACUCGCUGUGAAGAUGCAGUGUACCCGCGGCAAGACGGAAAGACCCCGUGAACCUUUACUAUAGCUUGACACUGAACAUUGAGCCUUGAUGUGUAGGAUAGGUGGGAGGCUUUGAAGUGUGGACGCCAGUCUGCAUGGAGCCGACCUUGAAAUACCACCCUUUAAUGUUUGAUGUUCUAACGUUGGCCCCUAAUCGGGGUUGCGGACAGUGUCUGGUGGGUAGUUUGACUGGGGCGGUCUCCUCCUAAAGAGUAACGGAGGAGCACGAAGGUUGGCUAAUCCUGGUCGGACAUCAGGAGGUUAGUGCAAUGGCAUAAGCCAGCUUGACUGCGAGCGUGACGGCGCGAGCAGGUGCGAAAGCAGGUCAUAGUGAUCCGGUGGUUCUGAAUGGAAGGGCCAUCGCUCAACGGAUAAAAGGUACUCCGGGGAUAACAGGCUGAUACCGCCCAAGAGUUCAUAUCGACGGCGGUGUUUGGCACCUCGAUGUCGGCUCAUCACAUCCUGGGGCUGAAGUAGGUCCCAAGGGUAUGGCUGUUCGCCAUUUAAAGUGGUACGCGAGCUGGGUUUAGAACGUCGUGAGACAGUUCGGUCCCUAUCUGCCGUGGGCGCUGGAGAACUGAGGGGGGCUGCUCCUAGUACGAGAGGACCGGAGUGGACGCAUCACUGGUGUUCGGGUUGUCAUGCCAAUGGCACUGCCCGGUAGCUAAAUGCGGAAGAGAUAAGUGCUGAAAGCAUCUAAGCACGAAACUUGCCCCGAGAUGAGUUCUCCCUGACUCCCUGAGAGUCCUGAAGGAACGUUGAAGACGACGACGUUGAUAGGCCGGGUGUGUAAGCGCAGCGAUGCGUUGAGCUAACCGGUACUAAUGAACCGUGAGGCUUAACCUU
rnacentral:rRNA from 2 species